rnacentral:rRNA from 1 species
AUACGUAGGGAGCAAGCGUUGUCCGGAUUUAGUGGGUGUAAAGGGUGCGUAGGCGGCUCUGCAAGUCAGGCGUGAAAGCUAUGGGCUUAACCCAUAGACUGCGUUUGAAACUGUGGAGCUUGAGUGAAGUAGAGGUAGGCGGAAUUCCCGGUGUAGCGGUGAAAUGCGUAGAGAUCGGGAGGAACACCAGUGGCGAAGGCGGCCUACUGGGAUUUAACUGACGCUGAGGCACGAAAGCAUGGGUAGCAAACAGGAUUAGAUACCCUGGUAGUCCAUGCCGUAAACGAUGAUUACUAGGUGUGGGGGGUCUGACCCCUUCCGUGCCGGAGUUAACACAAUAAGUAAUCCACCUGGGGAGUACGGCCGCAAGGUUGA